UUCGCAAUGCCCGAAAGGGUGACGGAGCGACGCCGCGUGCAGGAUGAAGUCCUUCGGGAUGUAAACUGCUGUCAGAGGAAAGAAAGUCCUGAUCUACCUCAGAGGAAGGCACGGCUAACUCUGUGCCAGCAGCCGCGGUAAUACGUAUGGUGCGAACGUUGUUCGGAAUCACUGGGCAUAAAGAGCACGUAGGCGGUUGAGCAAGUCCAUUGUGAAAUCCCCCGGCUUAACCGGGGAACUGCAGUGGAUACUACUUGACUUGAGUGCAGGAGGGGAGAGUGGAAUUCCAGGUGGAGCGGUGAAAUGCGUAGAUAUCUGGAGGAACGCCGGUGGCGAAAGCGACUCUCUGGUCUGCAACUGACGCUGAGGUGCGAAAGCUAGGGGAGCAAACGGGAUUAGAUACCCCGGUAGUCCUAGCCCUAAACGAUGGGCACUAAGUAGAGGGGUUUU
rnacentral:rRNA from 1 species